rnacentral:tRNA from 1 species
GCCCCUGUAGUUCAAAUGGAUAGAACACCGCCGUCCUAAGGCGGGUGUUGUGGGUUCAAUUCCUGCCGGGGGCA